GGAGGAAAGUGUUUCGGAGCUACUGAGCCAGUACAACCUGGUUUGCAACCAGGGGGGUCGGGGGUUCGAAUCCCCUCGUCUCCACCA
rnacentral:tRNA from 1 species